UACCGCGGCUGCUGGCACGGAAUUAGCCGGAGCUUCUUCUGUUGGUAACGUCAUUAUCUUCCCUACUGAAAGCGCUUUACAACCCGCAGGCCUUCUUCACACACGCGGUAUUGCUGGAUCACGCUUGCGCCCAUUGUCCAAUAUUCCCGACUGCUGCCUCCCGUAUGAGUCCGGGCCGUGUCUCACUCCCGAUGUGGCUGGCCAUCCUCUCACACCAGAUAAAGAUCGUCGCCUUGGUAGGCCUUUACCCUACCAACUAGCUAAUCUUACGCGGGCUCAUCUAAUAGCGCAUUGCUGCUUUCCCCCAUAAGGCGUAUGCGGUAUUAAUCCAGCUUUCGCUGGGCUGUCCCCCACUACUACGUAGAUUCCCACGUGUUACUCACCCGUCCGCCACUGAAGUCCGAAGACUUCCGUUCGACUUGCAUGUCUUAAGCAUACCGACAGCGUUCAAUCUGAGCCAUGAUCAAACUC
rnacentral:rRNA from 1 species